rnacentral:rRNA from 1 species
GUAGGUGGCAAGCGUUGUCCGGAAUUAUUGGGCGUAAAGCGCGCGCAGGGCGGUCCUUUAAGCCUGAUGUGAAAGCCCACGGCUCAACCGUGGAGGGUCAUUGGAAACUGGGGGACUUGAGUACAGAAGAGGAAAGCGGAAUUCCAAGUGUAGCGGUGAAAUGCGUAGAGAUUUGGAGGAACACCAGUGGCGAAGGCGGCUUUCUGGUCUGUAACUGACGCUGAGGCGCGAAAGCGUGGGGAGCAAACAGGAUUAGAUACCCUGGUAGUCCACGCCGUAAACGAUGAGUGCUAAGUGUUAGGGGGUUUCCGCCCCUUAGUGCUGCAGCUAACGCAUUAAGCACUCCGCCUGGGGAGUACGGCCGCAAGGCUG